rnacentral:rRNA from 1 species
AGAGUUUGAUCCUGGCUUAGGACGAACGCUGGCGGCGUGCCUAACACAUGCAAGUCGAGCGGAGAUGAUGUGAGGAAGUUUUCGGAUGGAAUCACAUUAUUUAGCGGCGGACGGGUGAGUAACGCGUGAGCGACCAACCUUGCACAGGGGGAUAACGGACCGAAAGGUUCACUAAUACCGCAUGAGACCACGGUGUUGCAUGACACAGGGGUCAAAGGAGCAAUCCGGUGCAAGACGGGCUCGCGUCCGAUUAGGUAGUUGGUGGGGUAGUGGCCCACCAAGCCUAUGAUCGGUAGCCGACCUGAGAGGGUGAUCGGCCACAUUGGAACUGAGAUACGGUCCAAACUCCUACGGGAGGCAGCAGUGGGGAAUAUUGGGCAAUGGGGGGAAAAACCCCUGACCCAGCAACGCCGCGUGAAGGAAGAAGGUUUUCGGAUUGUAAACUUCUGUCCUUGGUGAAGAGAAGAGGACGGUAGCCAAGGAGGAAGCCCCGGCUAACUACGUGCCAGCCGCUGC